AAAUUGAAAAACACCAGAUGAUCUGCUUCGAAGAGACAUAAACAGGCCAAGCGGAUGCAGGUUAAUAAAACCCGCAAAAUCCCAGACAGCAACACUUAAAAUGCCCCAGAAACGAAGCAUACCAUGACAAAUUCUCACCCAACACACAAGUACAUGUACCAGAAUGUUCCCAGGCAC
rnacentral:sRNA from 1 species